rfam:Ancylostoma duodenale strain Zhejiang A_duodenale-1.0_Cont3391.2, whole genome shotgun sequence.
CCAACGGCCCUCUUAAGGGCCACAAUUCAAGCUCACGAAUACCACA